CAAUUGUGUAGAUUUUAUAAUCUUGUGUAGAACUCUUUGACUUAUUUUCCUAAUUGCCAACUUCAGUUGAAGACUGGCACCAUGGAUUUUAGUAAAAUGAGCAAUAGAGACAAACGUGAGUUUGAGGCGUGGGCGCAAACAUAUCAGGUCAAACAAGUGAUUCAUAUGUAUACAAAUUUAACUUCUCAGUGUUUCACUGACUGUGUUAACGAUUUUACUAGUGAUACUCUAUCUUCUAAAGAAAGUCAGUGCAUCAAAAGUUGCGUAGGGAAAUUUUUCAAAGCGAAUGCAAGGCUGAGCCAAACUUUUGCG